rnacentral:rRNA from 1 species
GGGAUAACACUUGGAAACAGGUGCUAAUACCGUAUAACACUAUUUUCCGCAUGGAAGAAAGUUGAAAGGCGCUUUUGCGUCACUGAUGGAUGGACCCGCGGUGCAUUAGCUAGUUGGUGAGGUAACGGCUCACCAAGGCCACGAUGCAUAGCCGACCUGAGAGGGUGAUCGGCCACACUGGGACUGAGACACGGCCCGGACUCCUACGGGAGGCAGCAGUAGGGAAUCUUCGGCAAUGGACGAAAGUCUGACCGAGCAACGCCGCGUGAGUGAAGAAGGUUUUCGGAUCGUAAAACUCUGUUGUUAGAGAAGAACAAGGAUGAGAGUAAAAUGUUCAUCCCUUGACGGUAUCUAACCAGAAAGCCACGGCUAACUACGUGCCAGCAGCCGCGGUAAUACGUAGGUGGCAAGCGUUGUCCGGAUUUAUUGGGCGUAAAGCGAGCGCAGGCGGUUUCUUAAGUCUGAUGUGAAAGCCCCCGGCUCAACCGGGGAGGGUCAUUGGAAACUGGGAGACUUGAGUGCAGAAGAGGAGAGUGGAAUUCCAUGUGUAGCGGUGAAAUGCGUAGAUAUAUGGAGGAACACCAGUGGCGAAGGCGGCUCUCUGGUCUGUAACUGACGCUGAGGCUCGAAAGCGUGGGGAGCGAACAGGAUUAGAUACCCUGGUAGUCCACGCCGUAAACGAUGAGUGAUAGGUGUUGGAGGGUUUCCGCCCUUCAGUGCUGCAGCA